rnacentral:misc_RNA from 1 species
AAGGAGCAUCUCCAGUGAGUGUCUCGUGGAGUCGGGAUCGCUUCUGGCAGAGCCGCUUAUGUCCUCGAAUGUGGGACUGCGGAGCUCAUGGGUGGAACGCUGACAACUUUCUUCCGCGUAUCGGUCGGUCUUGGAUGAUCGGCUGGCGGUUGAUAUAUCGACACACUGUUGGGUCCUGAAAGAACAGGCGUUCUUUCCAGGCAAAAAAUACGAUCCGCCCGGAUUUCCUUGAUACCUCGGGGUUUUUGAUUUCGAUGGUCUUGGAGUUCGAUUCGGUGUGGGUGUGUUGUUUGAGAACUGCACAGUGGACGCGAGCAUCUUUGUUA